rnacentral:rRNA from 1 species
AUGGACUUAGAAGAUUUUAAUACUGCUUAUAAACUCCCGCAAUGGGGUAGUGCUAGUGAACCUCGCAAAUCUGAGUUUAAAGAUUUCCUUGCUAGUAUCACUGUGGGGGAAUCUAGAGAAAUAACACAAGCUACCAUAGGGAGCAUUCAUUUUCCUGCUAUACACUAUUUUGCUCUCUUUAUAGGAAGAUGCAUAAACGGUAAGUAUGAGGCAUGUCACAUGUGUGUUCCAGAUCUUAGUGUUCUCAAGAGUGUUGUGUUAGGAGAUGAACAAUAUAACUUGGGGGCCAUUGUUGCACGUAGGUUGCAUAAUAAUAGUAUUAUUAGUGGAGAUUUGUUCCGUGGAAUUUAUGCAACCCGUGUAGCUAAUUAUCUUGAGAUACCCAUACAUGAAAAUGAUAUGGAACUGCCUCUUGCUUAUUUAGAUUAUAAUACUAUGGUUCGUCAUCAGUUUGUUGAGAGGAACGAACAGUUACUCCAAUACCGACUAAUCUUUGACAAGCGUCGCAUUGUCCAUGUUGCUCUCCCUGCUCCUGGUUUCUUUGACUUUCAGGCAAAAAGGAGAUAUAUUAUAACCAGGUAG